rnacentral:rRNA from 1 species
UACGGGGGGGGCAAGCGUUGUUCGGAAUUACUGGGCGUAAAGGGCGCGUAGGCGGUUCGCUAAGUCGGAUGUGAAAACUCUGGGCUCAACCCAGAGCCUGCAUCCGAAACUGGCGGGCUAGAGUUCUGGAGGGGGUAGCGGAAUUCCUGGUGUAGCGGUGAAAUGCGUAGAUAUCAGGAGGAACACCGGUGGCGAAGGCGGGUCUCUGGGCCGAUAUUGACGCUGAGGAGCGAAAGCGUGGGGAGCGAACAGG